rnacentral:rRNA from 1 species
CCUACGGGGGGCAGCAGUGGGGAAUAUUGGGCAAUGGGCGCAAGCCUGACCCAGCAACGCCGCGUGAAGGAAGAAGGCUUUCGGGUUGUAAACUUCUUUUUAGAGGGAAGAGAAGAAGACGGUACCUCUUGAAUAAGCCAUGGCUAACUACGUGCCAGCAGCCGCGGUCAUACGUAGGUGGCAAGGGUUGUCCGGAUUUACUGGGUGUAAAGGGCGUGUAGCCGGGCUGACUAGCCAGAUGUGAAAUUCCGGGGCUCAACCCUGGACUUGCAUUUGAACCUGUUGGUCUUGAGUAUCGGAGAGGCAGGCGGAAUUAGUAGUGUAGCGGUGAAAUGCGUAGAUAUUAGGAAGAACACCGGUGGCGAAGGCGGCCUGCUGGACGACAACUGACGGUGAGGCGCGAAAGCGUGGGGAGCAAACAGGAUUAGAUACCCUUGUAGUC